GACGAACGCUGGCGGCGUGCUUAACACAUGCAAGUCGAACGGAAAGGCCCCUUCGGGGGUACUCGAGUGGCGAACGGGUGAGUAACACGUGAGUAACCUGCCCUUGACUUCGGGAUAACUUCAGGAAACUGGGGCUAAUACCGGAUAGGAAUCCUUGCUGCAUGGUGGGGGUUGGAAAGCUUCGGCGGUUUUGGAUGGACUCGCGGCUUAUCAGCUUGUUGGUGGGGUAGUGGCUUACCAAGGCCUUGACGGGUAGCCGGCCUGAGAGGGCGACCGGCCACAUUGGGACUGGGAUACGGCCCAGACUCCUACGGGAGGCAGCAGUGGGGAAUAUUGCACAAUGGGCGGAAGCCUGAUGCAGCAACGCCGCGUGCGGGAUGACGGCCUUCGGGUUGUAAACCGCUUUCAGCAGGGGCGAAGCUUGUGGUGACGGUACCUGCAGAAGAAGCACCGGCUAACUACGUG
rnacentral:rRNA from 1 species